UACGUAGGGGGCUAGCGUUGUCCGGAUUUAUUGGGCGUAAAGAGCGUGUAGGCGGCCAGGUAGGUCUGGUGUAAAAACUCGAGGCUUAACCUCGAGAUGUCAUCGGAAACCAUCUGGCUAGAGUCCGGAAGAGGAGAGUGGAAUUCCUGGUGUAGCGGUGAAAUGCGCAGAUAUCAGGAAGAACACCAAUGGCGAAGGCAGCUCUCUGGGGACGGUACUGACACUGAGACGCGAAAGCGUGGGGAGCGAACAGG
rnacentral:rRNA from 1 species